ACCUACACAAGGGGGCAUCACAGAGAGCAUGGGACCUGAGUCUGGUGGCUUGAAAGACACCAUUUCUGUGAACAGUUAGAAAAGUGGAUGGUUGACAGUCCCGAGCUUGACUCUCGUAAGAUUGGUCUUACGAGGUCAAAUAGGAUUUAUCUUGUAAAAAGCACUCUAGUUGUGAGGUUUGGUCUAACUGAAGAGUAGUGAAAAAUGAUACUCUGUUCUCUUACUCGGAAAGCCCUAAAAUCCAUUGCUGCUCUAGGGCAUGGGAGGAGUGGUAGUGGUCAAGGGAAUCAGUCUCCCUUCUCAGCGUGACCUUCCUGGCUUCCAGAUGUUUUUCUUUUUUUCUUGGGAGCAGAGGUGGGCUUAGAACUGGUGGGGCCUGAAACUGUUGGAUCACACAUGCAUUUCUCUUCUCUUUCUGUGUUUCCCGUUCGUCUGGUGACCUGGUAUCCGCAGGGGCAGUGACAGCCUCAUCAAGGCUAAGAAGUGAGCCUGGUGACCAUGAACUCUGCCACCAGAGAAGUGGGUCUGUUUCUCCCCUGGUUUUUGAGGAGCCAGCUCGGGGUCCAGCACACACACACCCCCAUCCCACCCUUCAGUAUCAUGUGAUGGUCCCUUCUGCAUCUGGCCUCCCAGCCCUUCUUGGAUGAACAAAGCCUGACCAAUUUUGGGGGGGGGGGGGGGGGGCGGGGAAUGACUUUGUUCCUCCCUGUGUUCGCCAGAGGUGCUGGGACAGCGUGAUUUCCUACAGUGUUGGUUCCUCCCUCCAGGUUGGGAGGCAAUAACCACCAUCCCAGGAAUUCUCAAUAAAUUUUUAUUAGUUAAGCUUAA